rnacentral:lncRNA from 1 species
AUGUGGUUCCUUACACAAGUAUCUUCACCUAGGUCUGGGCUGUGGCUCCUCGUGACACACCACCUCCCAGACGUACUAUGGAACAGUGCCCUUAGAUCCUGUGGAGCAUUAAGAUUCAAACAAUCCAAGCUACAAUUAUGACUGAGCACAAGAAAAGGCCAAAACAUUUAAUCUGAUGUCUCAGAGACCUGGACUUUCUCAGAUGAUAUGGUUCUAUGAAGCAGCAUGCUCAGAAGUUAGUGAUGUAUCUUAAGUGUAAUUCACAUUCCUAUCUAUCUUGCACUACAUGUUAAUAAAGUUCGUGUUUGAAAUACA